AAGCCUGAUCCAGCCAUGCCGCGUGGGUGAAGAAGGCCUUCGGGUUGUAAAGCCCUUUUGUUGGGAAAGAAAAGCAGCCGGCCAAUACCCGGUUGUUCUGACGGUACCGUACAAGGAAGCCACGGCUAACUACGUGCCAGCAGCCGCGGUAAUACGUAGGUGGCAAGCGUUGUCCGGAAUUACUGGGUGUAAAGGAUGCGUAGGCGGAUAUGUAAGUCAGAUGUGAAACCCCCGGGCUUAACCCGGGGCAUGCAUUUGAGACUGCAUAUCUAGAGUGCAGGAGAGGAAAGCGGAAUUCCUAGUGUAGCGGUGAAAUGCGUAGAUAUUAGGAAGAACACCAGUGGCGAAGGCGGCUUUCUGGACUGUAACUGACGCUGAUGCAUGAAAGCGUGGGGAGCAAACA
rnacentral:rRNA from 2 species